CAGUCGCCACGGGAAUACGUAGGGUGCAAGCGUUAAUCGGAAUUACUGGGCGUAAAGCGUGCGCAGGCGGUUUGUUAAGACAGAUGUGAAAUCCCCGGGCUCAACCUGGGAACUGCAUUUGUGACUGGCGAGCUAGAGUGUGGCAGAGGGGGGUGGAAUUCCGCGUGUAGCAGCGAAAUGCGUAGAUAUGCGGAGGAACACCGAUGGCGAAGGCAGCCCCCUGGGCCAACACUGACGCUCAUGCGCGAGAGCGUGGGGAGCAAGCAGGAUUAGAUACCCCAGUAGUCCCUGUCUCUUAUAC
rnacentral:rRNA from 1 species